GGUUAAGUGAAUAAGGGCGCACGGUGGAUGCCUUGGCACUAGGAGCCGAUGAAGGACGGGACUAACACCGAUAUGCUUUGGGGAGCUGUACGUAAGCUAUGAUCCAGAGAUUUCCGAAUGGGGGAACCCAACAUCUUUAAUAGGAUGUUACGAUUGUGUGAAUACAUAGCACAUUCGAGGUAGACGCAGAGAACUGAAACAUCUAAGUACCUGCAGGAAGAGAAAGAAAAUUCGAUUCCCUGAGUAGCGGCGAGCGAAACGGGAAAAGCCCAAACCAGCAAGCUUGCUUGUUGGGGUUGUAGGACUCCAAUAUGGUAGUUCUUUCAGAUAGUCGAAUGACUUGGAAAAGUCAGUCAAAGAGGGUAAAAACCCCGUAGACGAAAUGUGGAAGACACCUAGGAGGAUCCUGAGUACGGCGGAACACGAGAAAUUCCGUCGGAAUCCGGGAGGACCAUCUCCCAAGGCUAAAUACUCCCUAGUGACCGAUAGUGAACCAGUACCGUGAGGGAAAGGUGAAAAGCACCCCGGAAGGGGAGUGAAAUAGAACCUGAAACCGUGUGCCUACAACAAGUCAAAGCCCGUUAAUGGGUGAUGGCGUGCCUUUUGUAGAAUGAACCGGCGAGUUACGAUUGCAUGCGAGGUUAAGUUGAAGAGACGGAGCCGCAGCGAAAGCGAGUCUGAAUAGGGCGUUUGAGUAUGUAGUCGUAGACCCGAAACCAUGUGAUCUACCCAUGUCCAGGUUGAAGGUGCGGUAAAACGCACUGGAGGACCGAACCCACGUACGUUGAAAAGUGCGGGGAUGAGGUGUGGGUAGCGGAGAAAUUCCAAACGAACUUGGAGAUAGCUGGUUCUCUCCGAAAUAGCUUUAGGGCUAGCCUCGGAAUUGAGAAUGAUGGAGGUAG
rnacentral:rRNA from 1 species